GACAGACGUUUGGUGGACAUCAGAAGGUGUGAUUUGAGCAGGGGCGGCACGCGGCAGUAAAUMAUGUCACCCCCGUGUAACUAUGAUAUAAGAGAAGCGCUGCUGCCUCCCUUGUUUCUCUAUUGGGAGAACGAAACAGAGGUAGACAAAGAMAGGACAGCACCGGAGCUGGGGGGUAAGCACCGAGAGUGGACCAACUAUUGUCAAAAAUAGAAACGAGGGAAGAGAGAGAUCCUGUGCGAGGUGGCGGGAAAGAAGCGACCCAGACAUGGGCAAGAAGGACGAGAUAGCGGUGGCCAAAGUCAAGAUUGAGCAAAACGGAGACAUUGGAGAGGAUAAAGAUGAAGAGAAAAAGGGGGAAAAGGAGAAAGAGCCAAAGAUGCCGAUGAUUGGCGCCAUAGCUCUGGUGAGUAGCCUAGACAAACUGUCACAUACUUCUCCAGCUUUACACACUGUAGACUAUUUAUUAUCAGGGCCCUGAGGUAUUGUGUGUGUGUGUGUGUGUGUGUGUGUG